GAUUGCUUGCAAUGGGCGAAACUUUGUUUUGAAAGCAAAUGUGAAGUGUUCGAUUCACUUAGUAAUUU
rnacentral:tRNA from 1 species